GACAGAGGGUGCAAACGUUGCUCGGAAUUACUGGGCGUAAAGCGCGUGUAGGCGGGUCGGAAAGUCGGGCGUGAAAUCCCCAGGCUCAACCUGGGAACUGCACUCGAAACUUCCGGCCUUGAGUGGUGGAGAGGGAAGUGGAAUUCCUGGUGUAGAGGUGAAAUUCGUAGAUAUCAGGAGGAACACCAGUGGCGAAGGCGGCUUCCUGGACACCAACUGACGCUGAGACGCGAAAGCGUGGGGAGCAAACAGG
rnacentral:rRNA from 1 species